AUUUUAUUCUUUUAUCUCUUCUCCCACCUCAUUGAUAUAACUGUUCUACUGUUUUAAUGUAGACAUCAGAGGAAGAACACAACUAUUGCAGGAAAGAGGCUGAAUUGUGGCCAACAGACACACCACCAAUCUUAAAGCUUCCUAAUGAGAUCCUCACGAUGGUGCUCCUGGAGGUUGUUUUGAGUGAAGGAGACCCAGCAUACAUGCGACUGGCACUGGUGUGCAAGGCAUUUCAAAAUCUCACCAUGAGCCCCAGCUUCAGGGACAAGGCUCACUUUGCUUGGCUAGAUGGAGAGCUCAACUGGGAUAAGUACCCCAAAGUCUACAAGGAGGAAUCCAGGAAGGCAUUUUGCAUAAUAAGGCAUAAGGCAUUUUGCAUAAUCCGGUGCCAUGACUGCGGCGAGAUGUUUAAAGACUGCGUUGGCUUCACUGGCAAUGGCAAACGUGGGGAGUACCCCCGUUAUUACACAGACUGCCUACCAGGUCUCUGUCCCUU